CAAGGUGUCUGCCGCGAAAGCGGCGGGUGAAAAGGGAAUCCGGUGCGAAUCCGGAGCGAUACAGUCACUGUGUACGGGAGUCGUCUGCAAUACCACUGGGAAACCGGGAAGGGCAGACCUGCGAUGAUCGAAGUCAGGAGACCUGCCUCGGCGU
rnacentral:ncRNA from 1 species